rnacentral:lncRNA from 1 species
ACCCAGACCACAAAUUAUACAACAACACCGAUGCACCAAUCUCUCACUUUAAGCUACACAAAACCACGAAUGGACAAACCAACACACCCAAAUCUUAACUUCAUCUACCGGUGGCUGAUACUGCCGAUUUGCCGCUACCGUUCCUUCCAUUUCUCCCUCGCCAGCCAGCCAGCCAGCUAACUCACUUACUUGCUCUGCUUUCUCUCUUUUUCUUUUAUUUUGAAAUGACUUUUUUUUUCGAAAUAACUCUUUAAUCUUUUGUAAUUUCAUGGUUGCUUUACUUAUUAUUACUGUAUUAGAUUAUUAAUUGUAUUUGGUUUUAUUAGUUUUGUUUGGAUUUGUACAUGUGACUGGAUCUGCAAAUGUCACUGUUGCUGGGUGAGAAACAUAAAAAGUCAUGAAGUGGAGAAGAUAAUGGAGGGAUAAUAUCAUUUAGAUCCAUCUCUUUUACAAAAUAUCUGCUGUACGGCCAAGGCGGAUGUACGGUACAGCAGUCUAACCUUACCUCGCUCGCCCAGGCCUGCCGGCACAAUAAGAGAAUGAGGGAGCUAAUCCGCUUGCUUGUGCAGGCGAGGACCGCUCGGCUAGGGCGCGCCAGAGGAGCUUCGAGUGACUUGAUUCUUUGCUCUUCGACAGCCCUCACUCGAAGCUCUGCCCUUUGUUUUGCCCCGUGCUGUCUUCCUCCAGUUGACCCCACCCAACCCCAGGCCGAAAAAGGUUGCAAUCAAUUGCCCUUCCCGUUCUCAUCAAACAAAAGACUACCAUACACGCCUUUUCUUU